UUCAGGUACGCAUGCGAGCAAUGCAUGCGCCGCGAACGCGUGUGAUUCAAUGUGAGUGCUUCGAAGGACCACUGAGAAGAGGAGGAGGCUCAGGAGGAGCAUCGGGCGCCGGCGGAGCAACUUUACGAUCAUCAACUAUGCAGAUCAACAGAAUGACAACUCCGCUGCUGCGCAUCAAUCGAUAAAUUUUGUGCGCGUAAUCGGUACGAAAUAAAUUCGGUCCGUCGUAAUAUUUAUAACAAAAUGCGCGUCGGGAGUGCCGUUUAAAGUGUCGCGCGAUUUUCUCAUUCGGGUACGCACGCGAGCAAGGCGUGCGCCGCGGACGCGUGUGAGUGUAUCGAAGAAUGCCUGUGAGUGCAUCAAAGAACGCUGGGAGGAGAAAGAGGAGGCAUUGGGCGGCAGCAGAGCAACGAUAUGAUAAAUUGCUGUGCUACUUCGAUGUUAGCGACUCGUCAUAUUCGUUCCGUCAUAAUAUAAUGAAACACGUGUCGGGAGUGCCGUUCAAAGUGACGCGUGAUUUUCAUUUUCGGAUACGCGAGUGAGCAAUGCGCGUGUGAUCGUAUCUUCACAAACGUGUAAAUGCUAUGCAAGAUUAGAAGAAGAAGAAGAAAAAGAAUUCUGAAAUCCACAGGAGCAUCGCGAUGAGAUGAAACCAUGAAUAGCUUUAUCAAGGACUUCGUAUUUCAAAGUGCUUCGAAGAUAGGUUCCGCUUUUAGUUUCCUUCGACCGGAUAUCCAUCUCUACUCAGGUAGCACUUUUCAUCGGUGAUGACUUCGCCAAACGAAACAGGCUGACAGUUCACUUUCAACACGAAACAUCUACAUAUGUGAAGUCGAUGUGCAGACAGUGGAUGAAGCGUAUUUCGUGCCGACAUUUGGAAGCCAAAAUCUUUUCUCGACAACGGAUUACGACGGUUACACGGCGUAGUAGAGACCUGCUGAAAAUCGCCGGCUGCGUGACUCCGGCGCGGCGAGUUUUCGCUCGUUUCACGCUGGCUGCAAAAGAAAACGAGCGAAACGGGGCGGGCCAAGUACCAGCCGGCGGCGACCGCUCCGCUCCGGCGUCGCGCCACGAGGAUUCGAAGAAAGUUCGUCGCGGUCGGUUAAAUAGUCGGAGAGAAUUGCAGCGCGCCUCUCGCUCGUCGCACGCCGUUUCGUUCCGUGGCGACAGAUCGGCGAGCGUAUCGAUCGCGCUCCGUCGCCGCAACGCCGACGAAGGAAUAAUAUCUCGCCGGGAGCGGUCGCGCGGCGCGAAAAUCGAUCAUGUCGCGAUGGUGAGUCCGUCCGGAACGGAACGGCCCGGCCCGGCCCCGCUUAUCCCGCCGGCGGAUCAAAAAGGAAAGAAGCGGAACGACGAAGUGCCGACUCACGCGGCGCGCUAUCUGACGGGACAAUCGAUAUCGUUGUCGAGGGAGAUAAUUCCGGGCGGUGGCGGCGAGAGCUGCAUUCGGUGCCCCGAUAACUACCCGCGCGUUAUCGUUUAAACAUUUUACAGGCCGUCUCGCGAUAACGCGUUUUUAUACGGAGACGAUGCUCGUAGCACGAAAGCGAUCAAAUGAAGCGUUAUCGGAUAUCGAUUCGAUCGUCGGAAGAAAGAGGCAAUGAUCGUCCCUCGAAAACGAUCGAGGCGAUUGUUCCGAUAAACGUGAAAAUGCGUGGUCGGACUCGGUGUAUUCUCGCCUAAAAACAAUCGCGCGCAUUCGACGCGCGUGUAAUCGCGCAGCGGAAUAAUCGCGACAGUCCGGCCGUAAUUUUCCGACAGCGGCACGUUUUAUUGCAGAACCCGAGCCAUAAAUGCGCGGUUAAUUGCGCCGCCGGAGUGAUUAGUUCGGCGAACAAACACGCCACACGACCGUCGCCUACGCACAUGGCCACACAUCGUGGGGGCAGAUUUGCGGAAACUGUCGAGGCCGGCUGGCAUUUCGCAGCCUCUCAAUGUAUUCCGGGCGCGAUGUCGCUGGAUAAAGCCGGGCCCGGGCCCGAGCGAAGGAAAGAUACAACCGGGAUUUACUUCGCCUUGAUAAAGAGAGCAGCGCGAUCGAUGGCUCCUCCCUUCCCCCUCGGCUCGAGUCCUAAUACCGUGCCGGUCACGUGCAGCCUGACAAACAAACUGCGAACAGGAUAGGGGAGAGGGAACGGGGCGGCCGGCGUUCGCCGAAAAUCCACGCAGUGAGAGGGACACAAUAGACCUCCAGUUGACCGCAAUCAAUGAAAGUUCCAAACCCACCCUUCGGUGUAUGAUGGCCCAUGACCGACACCGGCUACCUCUUUUCCAAGGUCGACGAUCUCUCCCGCGCGUUGGGCCGCGCGUAGUAAAUCAUUUCUAGGCCCUGGUCAGAAACCUGGCCGGUUUGCCGGCGGGGACUUGGCGCGGUCGGGAUCGGGCAGGCAGGCAGGCUCCUUCGACCCACAGUUUUACGCGUUUCAAGCUGCUGUAAUGUGGGGACCGUGCGGCGGAAUGUUUCCAUACGACAGCCAGCCGCUCCAUAAAUAGCGAUUUGGGGUUACGUCGGGCAGCAUCGAAGCGUGCGUAAGCAAUAAAAUAUUUACAUAUAUUACUUUCAUGCAAAGUUAGUUCGGUGUAACGUAACACGUUCAACUGCACUCUUUGCAGCAUUUGUAAAA
rnacentral:misc_RNA from 1 species